CCAUGGUGUCCAAUCAGUGCAGAAAUCCAGCUCACAUCGGCCAGUCCGUUCCACCUGCACAGGUAAACACGCUCUUUCUGUCUCUCCGACGUGUCUUUCUGAUUCCCUGUAAAGUUUGAAACCUGAGAGCCAUAGUCAGGGUUCAGCUCACCCUCUGGGAUGCUUAGCCGUCUCGUUCUCGGGUCUGAAAGCGAGAUUGAGGCUUACAAACGCUGCGUUUUCAAGGAGGAGCGAGUCGAAUGUUUUCAGGUGAAAGUCUAGGGCAGGUAACUCAAGCCUUUAUCCACGCCCCUUCAGCUUUACACUCACAGAUGAGAGCAUUUUACAGGCAUGAAGCACGUGCUUUGGCUGCACAGACUGCAAAUGAAAGGCAUCGAGGCUCAACCCUCCCUUUUCAUCAUGAAAUUGGCUGGUCAGCUUCAGAGAGAGACACUCUGCGUAAUGAGAAAACAACACUCCCCCUUGUGGUAAAAAAAGCAAACACCUCACUGCAACCGCCCAGGAUUACACAUAUGAUUUCACUGGAUUAUAUGGAGUACAUUUAAUAAGCAUGUUCUGAAAAGCUAAUACUUUAAAGCUUAGAAUUAAUA